CCUGGCUCAGGAUGAACGCUAGCGGCAGGCUUAACACAUGCAAGUCGAGGGGCAUCGGGAGUAGCAAUACUUGCCGGCGACCGGCGCAAGGGUGCGUAACGCGUGAGCAACAUGCCCGUAUCAGGGGGAUAAUCCAUGGAAACGUGGUCUAAUACCCCAUAGUAAUUAUGUAAGGCAUCUUAUAUAAUUUAAAGCUUUGGUGGAUACGGAUUGGCUCGCGUGACAUUAGCUGGAUGGUAAGGUAACGGCUUACCAUGGCUACGAUGUCUAGGGGUUCUGAGAGGAAGGUCCCCCCACACUGGAACUGAGACACGGUCCAGACUCCUACGGGAGGCAGCAGUGAGGAAUAUUGGACAAUGGAUGGAAAUCUGAUCCAGCCAUGCCGCGUGCAGGAAAAGACGGCCCUAUGGGUUGUAAACUGCUUUUGUAUGGGAGCAAUAAGGGCUACGUGUAGUCCGAUGAGAGUACCAUACGAAUAAGCACCGGCUAACUCCGUGCCAGCCGCUGC
rnacentral:rRNA from 1 species